rnacentral:rRNA from 1 species
UACGUAGGGUGCGAGCGUUGUCCGGAAUUAUUGGGCGUAAAGAGCUCGUAGGCGGCUUGUCGCGUCGGAUGUGAAAGCCCGGGGCUUAACUCCGGGUCUGCAUUCGAUACGGGCAGGCUAGAGUUCGGUAGGGGAGAUCGGAAUUCCUGGUGUAGCGGUGAAAUGCGCAGAUAUCAGGAGGAACACCGGUGGCGAAGGCGAAUCUCUGGGCCGAUACUGACGCUGAGGAGCGAAAGCUAGGGUAGCAAACGGG